AAAGGAGGUCGCCAUCUUUUAUUGUGUAGUCGUCAUCGAACUCAUCGUCAGUCUCCUGGUGUGGUCGUCGAAACGCUGGCAUAAAUAAUGUAUCUAUCCAGACAUCGUGCUGGACAAUAGUCAACUCAGUCUCUGGACACUGGAUGUGGCCAGUGGUGGGGAUUAGGAAAAGUUCUCCCGAUGACCGGCGUCUGCCAACGACUGCAGCGAGGACGAGCUUUGCAUAAUCUUGCCGACCAUCUGAAGACGGAGGUGCGAGCAAACAAUACCCUCCCCCUGAGGGCGAGCUGGAGGUUAACUCGACCCUCACACUGACAGGGGGUGGAGCUUGGACCAACGGUAGCCAGCGAUCAAUAGCAGGUUGCAAGUGUGAACACGAGUCACGAGGUGGUGAGCAGCACUCACUCAAUGAGCAGACUCCAGUAUUUUGGAGGAUCUGCCUCCUGGAGCGUCAGCCAACGCCCUGCAAUAACAACCCUCGACAAUGUUGCUCGACAUCCAGAUUUUCAUCCCAUUAAGUGCGCCUGCGCGGACUCGUUUAACGAGGGCGGCUCCUGCUCACCAGCACUAGCGUGACGUACACCUCAUCACAUGACUGCAACCACUAGUGUCAACUGCUUCCCCCGCUCACUUUCUAAGCUUCUUAGAAGCCUGGACAGGAAGUUGUCCCAAGACCACAAUUUACUUGAUGUUUCUCAUUUCUUCCAUGUUUUAGAAGGUUCUAUAACUCCACGAGCAAGAACCAUCAUGAAACGGCGCUCCAUGGCAUGCUGGAGGAUAAUGGAG